GUGCGUGCGUUGCGUGCCGAUCACGUCAAGGCUUUAUAUGAGCAGGUGCGCGCUCCGUCUCGGGUUGGCAUUUUGUUGUUUGGACCGGUUGAUGGGAGUCUCUCCACUAGCCCUCCAUGGUGGCAGUCUGAAAUUAACCUGAUUAUGUGCGGCCAAUUUAUGGGCGUAAUGUAGAGUUUAUUCCAAAGGUAAGUUUUGUGUGUUAGAGUAAACGUAGAAAAAAAAAAAAAGGGAAAAGAGUUUUAAGGAAUGUUGUUGUUUUGCAGAGUCUGCUAGCUGCUGCUUUGCUGUAAUUUAAGUGGCAUCUGGCCCUACUCUGAACGGCAUUCCUACGCGUGCGUGUGUGGACAUCAGACGCAAGCGCUUCGGACUCCAUCCUCCUUGGCCAAUUCAUGUGCGCUGCCUCAUUCAUGCGCGCUCGCUGUAUGAUUUAUACAGGUCCUCAAACCAUCUACGAGUGUUGCCGUCGGAAACCAUCUUAGCCUAGUGUGUUUGUUAUUUGCUUUGAGUGAUGUGAGUUUGUACGAAGUGUUAUUCCAUUUCGUUUUUCUUUUUUUUCUUUGUAUGGGUUGCUUUGGUUGCUGUUGUCAUUAUUAUUAGUUUAUGAUUAUUAUUUUUAGAAGUUGGUGUCGUUGUUAUGAUUGUAGUGAUGAUGUGACACUAACUUAUUUGCUUAGUAUUGCCCAAUCGGAACCAAGGUUGGUGUGACGGUGAUAUUUUGAAUUGUGUGGUUUGUGGUGUAUAUGAUUUACUAUAUUUUGAUUUUUUGUUUUGUUUGAGGUGUAUGAUUUUGUUUUCAACAUCUAGGGGUCCUACAUAGUGGUUCCUAUUUGGGUUUUAUUAUAUGCUGGAGUGGGACACAUUGAAUAACCAAGAAAUAACAACUGAUUACCAAUUUCAUUUUUGUUGAUUGCGGGUGGGAUUUAUAUUGGUAUAGUCUUUCUGGUAUUUGUAUUGAUAUUGUUUAAUGUUUUUUUUAUUGCUAUGUAUUUUUUUUUGGUUGUGUUCUAGAAUCACCACCCAACUAGCUUUAUUGAUUCGGUUUAUGCCAUUUGUGGGUGGGUUUAUGGUUGUAUGGAUUUUUUUGGUGUAUUGUAUUGAUUUUGUCUAUUAUGAUUUUUUGUUGCGUCUAUUUCCUUUUUUUUUUGGCUAAAUGUAUGGUGUUCUAGAGUGAUAUCGGGUACACAUUGAUCCAUCUACCUGUCCAUUUGUGGGGAUGAUGCUUUAAGCGCUUAUGAAUUCAGAGUUAGGACGGUGUCCUUAAUUGGUGUUUUUGUUACUAGGAACACUGUGUAAUUAAGGCAACAUUUUUAUUGUGAUGUUGAGCUCAAUGUUUUAAAUAGUAAAUGUAAGAAAUAAAAUUGGGAUUUGCUUGAACCGUGA